AAUUAUUGUUAUAAUUUACUUGCUGGUGGUACAACAUUAGUUUUGCUUCUCUCUCAAUUUUAUGCCUCAUUUUGCUGCUAGGUACUGUUACUCUUACCACCAUUUUCACUCUCUUUUCUAUGAUUUUUUUUAUGGUCUGUGAUAAAAGAUUGGACUUUUAUCUCUGGGUUGCUUGAUUGAUUGUUUCUUUCAUAUGGGUAUUUGAUUUUUUGGUAGGAUAUUAAAUUGGUUUUGUUGGGCUUUUUUUGGUUUAGGUUUAUGUGUGAUAGUGAGGUUCAACUGAUAGCUUGGGAGUUUUUUCUGGGCAGCAACCAUGAGGAGUCGAAGCAGAGAGCAGCGCUGUGUAGCUCUAUUGCGACGGAACAGACUAACUGUUUUGUUGGAGGUUGAAAGCCGUAUUUUGUGAGGAAUUUUGGGCAUCAAAUAGAAGAAAAGCGGCGGCAGCCUUGAAGAAGCAGUAGAUUUGAAGCUCCGGUGAAGCACUUCGCUUCCUUGGGGUAGUUCGUGGCUGCUGUUUUCCCCUCUCAACUCCAGGAAUUUGGCGAGCCGAACGUGAUUGUGAGUUCCUUGAAACAGAAAAAAGCAUGCUUACAUUCUUUUAGUGGGUGCUCAUAUCUUCGAUGACAAUACAGGGGAUAAGAUGGGCCUAUCUCCAUUCCUACUUUGUGCCAAGCAGGAUUCGUAUCAGAAUGAGUACUUGCGUGGACACUGCUUCCUCAUAGCUGAACUACAAAAUGUGGAUCUUGUUCUUGAUGGCAGGAGAAAGAAAAUUUCAAGAGAGAGAAAUGGCAUGUGUACGCGCGAUCAUAGCUGUGAAGAUUAAGAUUGUUCAACAGUUCAACUAAUUGAUCUCUUCACAGAAUACUUCUUCCUAAGAGCUUCUGUUUUCUGUCCCUGCUGGUUUGCUAUGGUCUGUCUUUCUGCUGGCCUGUUGUGUAGCUGUUCUGCGUUCCUGAGCUUGGUUCUGAUGUGGUGGCUACUGUGCUGGUGUCUUUGCUCUGGUGCAGUUUGUGUUUCUGUGACCCUGGGACUGUUCUGCUAUGGUUCAGAUUGCUAUGAUGCUGUUUGCGUUUGGUCUGGUCAGUUUUUCAGUUGCGGUUUUGCUGAUUUGCUUUGCUCUGAUUCUGUGUUGCUGAGUGCUAGGUUUUAUGGGCUGAUCCUUGAAGCUU